CUUGGCUCUGCUGUGAGGCUGCCACACGGAAUGAGAACCGGAAUGCCCGAGUGAGAAUUUGUAAGGGGUUUGUUAUUGGCCAGCCCGGCGACUGUCCCUCCGAGAAAGUCUCGGAAGAGAACGGCCCUGACCCGAAAUUUAGGGGUCUCGUUGACAGGGCACUUUGCCAUCGUCGUCACCCUGACCGUCGUCCACCAGAGAGGGUGAGGCUGACCACGCGUCCCUGCUCCCGACGAAGGAGUGGCCGCUGCGCCGCCGGGACCGAACCGACGCACGCUCGCUGGAGUGCUCCGGCCCCCCGGACGCUCUGGCCCGACCCUCCCUCUCCUGGUUGGGACUGAGGGUCGCUGGGGGGGGGCCUCUCUCCCCCUCCGUGUACACCUUGGCUUGCUGCGUGUUUCUUUCUGGGUGGGAACGGAGGGCGGUUUGUCUCGGACGGGAUGUGUACAGACGUCAAAUAAACCUCACAGAUGUCCAUAAAACGAAAAA